rnacentral:tRNA from 1 species
GGCUCUGUAGUUCAAUGGAUAGAAUAGUAGUUUCCGGAACUAUUGAUUAGGGUUCGAUUCCCUACGGGGCUA